rnacentral:rRNA from 1 species
UGAUAGCUAUUGACUGUAAGUUACCAGGGAGAUAAAUGCGACUUAAGGGUAUCGCACAUUGAUUGAAACUGGCCCAGUUCUACGGAGGCAGCAGUAGGAUUCUCGCAUUGGCACUGACGAGCAUGCCCGGUGGAGUGAGAAGUUUCGAUUCGUAACUCGUGUAGAGAGACGUUAGUAGAGUGGAAAAUACUAGUGACGUAUCUACCAGAAGGGACGGCUGACUACGUGCAGCAGCGCGGUAUACGUAGUCCCAGCGUGUCCGGAUUUAUCGGCGUAAAGCGGAGCGCAGGUGGUUUCUUAAGUCUGAUGUAAAGGCAGUGGCUCAACCAUUGUGUGCAUUGGAAACUGGGAGACUUGAGUGCAGGAGAGGAGAGUGGAAUUCCAUGUGUAGCGGUGAAAUGCGUAGAUAUAUGGAGGAACACCGGAGGCGAUAGCGGCUCUCUGGCCUGUAACUGACACUGAGGCUCGAAAGCGUGGGGAGCAAACAGGAUUAGAUACCCUGGUAGUCCACGCCGUAAACGAUGAGUGCUAGCUGUAGGGAGCUAUAAGUUCUCUGUAGCGCAGCUAACGCAUUAAGCACUCCGCCUGGGGAGUACGACCGCAAGGUUGAAACUCAAAGGAAUUGACGGGGGCCCGCACAAGCGGUGGAGCAUGUGGUUUAAUUCGAAGCAACGCGAAGAACCUUACCAGGUCUUGACAUACUCGUGCUAUCCUUAGAGAUAAGGAGUUCCUUCGGGACACGGGAUACAGGUGGUGCAUGGUUGUCGUCAGCUCGUGUCGUGAGAUGUUGGGUUAAGUCCCGCAACGAGCGCAACCCUUAUUACUAGUUGCCAUCAUUAAGUUGGGCACUCUAGUGAGACUGCCGGUGAUAAACCGGAGGAAGGUGGGGAUGACGUCAAAUCAUCAUGCCCCUUAUGACCUGGGCUACACACGUGCUACAAUGGAUGGUACAACGAGUCGCCAACCCGCGAGGGUGGGCUAAUCUCUUAAAACCAUUCUCAGUUCGGAUUGCAGGGUGCAACUCGCCUGCGUGAAGUCGGAAUCGCUAGUAAUCGCGGAUCAUCACGGCGCGGUGAAUAUGUUACCGGGCGGUGAACACACGUGUCCGUCACCCCACGGAAGUUGGGAGGAGGGAGAGUGCUUUGGGUACAGGUAGGAGUGGCACAUAAAGUUGAGCCGUUC